rnacentral:rRNA from 1 species
UACAUGGGGUGCAAACGUUGCUCGGAAUUAUUGGGCGUAAAGCGCGCGUAGGCGGCUUCUUAAGUCGGAUGUGAAAGCCCCUGGCUCAACUGGGGAAGUGCACCCGAAACUGAGUGGCUUGAAUACAAAAGAGGGUCGCGGAAUUCCUGGUGUAGCGGUGAAAUGCGCAGAUAUCAGGAGGAACACCGAUGGCGAAGGCAGGUCUCUGGGCCGAUACUGACGCUGAGGAGCGAAAGCGUGGGGAGCGAACAGG